rnacentral:rRNA from 1 species
UACGUAGGGGGCAAGCGUUGUCCGGAAUCAUUGGGCGUAAAGCGCGUGUAGGCGGUCCGGUAAGUCCGCUGUGAAAGUCGGGGGCUUAACCCUCGGAUGCCGGUGGAUACUGUCGGGCUUGAGUACGGAAGAGGCGAGUGGAAUUCCUGGUGUAGCGGUGAAAUGCGCAGAUAUCAGGAGGAACACCAAUUGCGAAGGCAGCUCGCUGGGACGUUACUGACGCUGAGACGCGAAAGCGUGGGGAGCUAACAGG